rnacentral:rRNA from 1 species
GGAGCUGCCAUUGGUACAGAUCUUGGUGGUAGUAGCAAAUAAUCGAAUGAGACCUUGGAGGACUGAAGUGGAGAAGGGUUUCGUGUGAACAGUGGUUGAUCACGAGUUAGUCGGUCCUAAGCUUAAGGCGAAAGCCGCAAAUUAAUUUAAAGUAAAAAUGAAAAUAUUUAAUAAAAGAAAAAUUUAUUUUUCCUAAAUAUUAAUAAAAAAUACUUUAAAUAUAAGCGAAAGGGAAUACGGUUCCAAUUCCGUAACCUGUUGAGUAUACGUUUGUAAUAAAUAUGGUCAUUAUGAUCAUCCUGGUAACAGAAACAAUCAUAGAGAAGCCGUCGAGAGAUAUCGGAAGAGUUUUCUUUUCUGUUUUAUAGUUGUACUACCAUGGAAAUCUUUUGAAGAGAGAUAUGGUAGAUGAACUAGAAGAGCAUGGCAUUUACUGCUGUGUCGAUAUUUUCUCCUCGGACCUUGAAAAUCUAUGAUUGGGCCACGUAAAUUCUCAACAGACCGUACCGAUAUCCGCAGCUGGUCUCCAAGGUGAAGAGUCUCUAGUCGAUAGAAUAAUGUAGGUAAGGGAA